rnacentral:rRNA from 1 species
UACAGAGGUGGCAAGCGUUGUUCGGAUUUAUUGGGCGUAAAGGGUCCGUAGGCGGCUUAGAAAGUCGGAUGUGAAAUCCCACGGCUUAACCGUGGAACUGCAUUCGAAACUUCUAAGCUCGAGUGUGAGAGGGGCAAAGGGAAUUCCCGGUGUAAGAGUGAAAUCUGUAGAGAUCGGGAGGAACACCAGUCGCGUAGGCGCUUUGCUGGCUCACUACUGACGCUGAGGGGCGAAAGCCAGGGGAGCAAACGGG